rnacentral:rRNA from 1 species
UACGUAGGGGGCGAGCGUUGUCCGGAUUUACUGGGCGUAAAGCGCACGUAGGCGGCUUGGUAAGUUGGGGGUGAAAUCCCGGGGCUCAACCUCGGAAUUGCCUUCAAGACUGCUUGGCUUGAGUUCGGAAGAGGUGAGUGGAAUUCCUGGUGUAGCGGUGAAAUGCGCAGAUAUCAGGAAGAACACCCGUGGCGAAGGCGGCUCUCUGGUACGUGACUGACGCUGAGACGCGAAAGCGUGGGGAGCAAACAGG